GAGUUGGUGAUGGACAGGGAAGCCUGGAGUGCUGCGGUUCAUGGGGUCGCAAAGAGUCAGACACGACUGAGCAACUGAUCUCUCUCUCUUUGAUCUCUCCCCAAAAUAAUUGGAAUAAUCCUCCUACUACUGCCUAUGAAUUUACCCAAACCAUUAAAAACUAAGCAUCCCGUAUUUCAGGGUCUCUCACCUUCUGAGAUGGCCCCACUCUGUGGAGUGUGUGUCUCCCUAAAUAAACCUGCUUUCCCAUUUAGGUCUUAGGGCAGAGCCUGACUGCUUGCAUCCUUCACAAAUGUUCUGUGUUAAUAAAUCUACUUCUUGCCUAUAGCUUUGCUUCUUGCUGAAUUCCUUCUGUGCUGAUACUAAAGAACCUGAGCUUCAUUAAAUCCUGAGACCAGGUGUGCGACUUCAGCAGGGAAACUGGGUUCAAGUCCCAUCUGCAGUGUAAUUGGGUUUGAGUCACAGUCUGAGAUGUGGGGUUUCACCUAGAAGAGGAUCAGUUGUUUAUUUUGACUGUGGAGUCAUGAAGUGUUUAGUUUGGACAUUCUUACAUUGAAUUGUUGAGGCUCUCCAAAUGGAGAUGUAUGUGUUGCUAGUAUAUAUCUAUAUAUGGGCCUGGAGUUCAGAGAGAGGGGACUGAGCUGCUGAUAGAAGUUAUUAGCAUUUGUAGAUAGUAAUUGAAGUUAAUAGGAGUGGAUGAGGCCACCCAGAAGGAGAAUGCUGUACUGAUAAAGAUUUUCAAAGGCGGGUGGGAAAGACUUGUAUCAGGGUAGAAGGGACUGUCAUUACUGUAUUUGAAAAACCAUAAUCAAUCAGUAUUUGCUGUUUGAAUAUAUAUUGUUUGAAGCUAGUUUCCUUUUUUUUUCCUUCUGAAAAUAAAAAUCUUAGAAAAUAAAACCCAAUAAAAUCUUGAUAAGAGGUUUUCAGUUCUGUGGGGGGGGGGUGCGUCAGAGUAUUUUUCCCGUUGCACAUGUUUGCAUUUCAAGGGGCCUGGGGGCAAGUGAGAUUUUUAAAUCAGAAGAAAUGGGUUUAAAAGCAAAUGAGACUGGGGAGAAAAAGGAUGUGAGCCUGAGAAGCACAAAGGACCUGAGAAGAUUACCAGUGAGGCCAGUUAAAUGUUUUAAAAUAUUAUGACUGCUUGAGAAAUGAGGAUCAGAAGCUAGAUUUGGAGAAUGGCUCUGUUAUGGGAGAGAAAGAACUGAACUGAAAAGUGCAAAUAGAGAAACAGAAAACAAACCCAUUUUGUUGGUUAGUUACUGUCCCUAUUGAAGCCAUGCUAGUCCGUUUUCACCAUAGGAUUUUAUAAAUUUUCAGUGAUUGGAUUUGCAUAGGGCUCUAUGGAAGUCUGACUCCAGGUUUUCACUGGUACUCUGUUUUAAUAGUUUAAUCAUUUAAAUAUUAUCAUCACCCCACUGAGGAAAAAGAGACGUUUUGUUUUUGGCAGAUCCAGAGAAUGAUACAGUGAGAGAAGGUACUUAUUGACUAAAACUACAGUUUUGGAUUAUUUGUGGAUUUAUCCCUGUCAUUUUUCUUUUAACUCAUAAUAGCCCUAGAAGACCAAGAAUCUCCUUUAUAUUAAAAAUGAAUUAUUUGUUUAGUUGUUCAGUAAUAUUACAAGAGGAGCUGUUUAAAUACUUCUUAUUUCAACCAUUAUAGAAACUGUCACUUGGAAAGUACAGAGAUUAGCAGUUAAUUCUCUAGUUGUGGUGUCAGUUUUCCUGCAUAGCAUCUUCUCCUGUGCAUAAAAGUAAAUUAGUUGCCUGUCAUUUGAAUUUGAACGUGGCUGGCUGAUAAUGAAUUCCAGUUGGGGUGGUGUGGAAAGUUCCCAUGUACACGGCACUAGUUGUAUGAUCUCUUCCUCCCUCUCCCUCACAAAGACGGGCUAAGUACUGGUAAAUGACUUGUGAACAUGGUGUUACUGGAGAUAACAUAAACUCUGGAUACAUACUGCUGCUGCUGCUAAGUCUCUUCAGUCGUGUCCGACUCUGUGCGACCUCGUAGACGGCAGCCCACCAGUCUCCUCCAUCUGUGGGAUUCUCCAGGCAAGAGUACUGGAGUGGGGUGCUACUAUGCCAGAAUUAUUUUUAGGAUUUUAUGGUAUUUAUUUUUUAAACCCAAGAGAAUCAAGAAGUGUUUCCAAGGUAGACUGGAAGGCUAUUAGUAAAUGGAUCAUGACCGUGUGCACAGGGUUGUUAUUCCAAACUGCCUGGGAAACUCGUGUAGCCAUUUUAUCUUACUGUGGAACUGAUUCUUUCAUUUGAGUUGUGAAUUUCACAUACCUUAGAUUCGUAUUCCUUAUCUCUUGGGUUUUAUUUUGCCUUAAUUCUUUUCUUAUAAUUCUUAGUUCUGUGGGAGUCUUGUGAAGUGAAAUUUGGGUGAAUAGUGUUAAUCAUCUUGCUUGGAUUUGCCAGCUGAAAACUCUUGACUUCAGUUUAUGCUAUGCAUUAUGGAGAGGAUACUGUGGUUUUUUCCAUGUAUGAUAAGUAGUUUGUGGAUUAGUCUGUCUGUUGCUUGAGUAU